ACCAAUGUAACAUGUACGUCACAUUAACAUCACAUUUACGUUUAUUAUGUUACGUAACAAUGUUACGUAAAUGAGUGUGAAAUUGUGAUAUACAUGUUGUGAAGAUGUGAUGUACAUAUGACUUACGAUUUUACGUAACCGGAAGUUUUCAUUCUAUAAAUGUGACAUCCCUGUUACGUUGAUGUGUUCACUGGGAGCCUAUGCGUCGCAUAACUCGAAAUUUAACUGCUACUAAAAGUAGCAGACACAUUAAGAAAAUUAUUUUUAUUUUAAAUAAACCAAAAAAAUACUUAAAGGUAGCGGGUACUUGUGAACGACUGUGUGGGUGACUAUCUUUGCAAAACAAACGUUGCCGGCGAUUUUUGUGACUGAUGCAAGCCCGGUUACUUCGCAUUAACCUGCGACAAUAUCAAGUGAUACUUACAGUGCGACUGAUUCGGAGUUAAUACCGAUCAAUGCACUGCUGCAACUCUUGUUUAUCAGUCGAAUUAGUUAGACGAGGGCAGGAGAUGAGGCUAGCGAGAAUUCAAUUUUACGCAGAAGCUGAAGCAGAUAAUAUGAACAACAUCAACUAACUGGACAAGUUUACCUGAAAAAUGGAGACAUGCUACGGACAGUAGAUCAUUCUUGAUGGAUAAAUACAAUUUUUUUAAUUUUCAUAAUUAAUAAAAUUGUAAAAAAUAACCUAUUAAAUGAAAUUCACAGUAAUAAAUA